AUUGAACGCUGGCGGCAGGCCUAACACAUGCAAGUCGAGCGGUAGAGGGGAGCUUGCUUCCCUUGAGAGCGGCGGACGGGUGAGUAAUGCCUAGGAAUCUGCCUAGUGGUGGGGGAUAACGUUCGGAAACGGACGCUAAUACCGCAUACGUCCUACGGGAGAAAGCGGGGGACCUUCGGGCCUCGCGCCAUUAGAUGAGCCUAGGUCGGAUUAGCUAGUUGGUGAGGUAACGGCUCACCAAGGCGACGAUCCGUAACUGGUCUGAGAGGAUGAUCAGUCACACUGGAACUGAGACACGGUCCAGACUCCUACGGGAGGCAGCAGUGGGGAAUAUUGGACAAUGGGCGAAAGCCUGAUCCAGCCAUGCCGCGUGUGUGAAGAAGGUCUUCGGAUUGUAAAGCACUUUAAGUUGGGAGGAAGGGCAG
rnacentral:rRNA from 1 species